ensembl:lncRNA
GAAAAUCAGUGACGUUCAAGCCAAUGGAAGAGUUAAAUCAGAGAAGAAUGUAAUUUACCAGAGUGGAAUGAAAAAUGUUAGAGGAAGUCUCCAGGCUCCUGAGAGAGUAGAAGAAAGGAUGGAGAAGUCCCUGACACCCAGGGCCUCAGCAGAUUUGCGUGAUCAGACGCUACAGAAUGAAUCUUGGCGGAGGGGUCCCUGCCGGGGCUCCAAGGGAACCACGUGUCGACAGGCAGAACCUUCAGCUUCCUGACGUCUGGAGCUCACUGUUGGCAGCAAACAGGCAUUGAAUGGACCGUGAUGGAUCCAGGACUGGGAGAGAAUUUGACCAGAGCCCUGUGUACAUCAGGGCCUACAUAGGUUGAUGGCUGCCUGAUUUCAGUUUGGUUCAGUUCUGUAAUAGGAAUUUCAGCUGUGGAGUCAGAAUGCAAGGCCUCUUGAGAAAGAUGUACAUUUACUUCUGAGAAAGCAUGAAGAUUUAGGUUGUUGUUUAACCUGAGUGUCCAGAGGUAAAAAUCUUGUGGCUGUUGUGAAAAAUGUAGUGUUAUAUUAAGUUUUGGUUAUUAAGGUUUUAACUUUGUAGCCUUCCUGUCUGGAGAAAUAAAAUCCUUUAAAUGAAAAUGCUGUUCUCUUGAGUCAUUAGACCUUGAACCAAAUGAUACUGAGUUAAAAGGUGGAUCCCACACUCUACAUGACUUGUUGACAUCCUCUGAUAGUUCCCUUCCUCUCUUAACCUCCUAACCUUGAUGAAACAAGCUAGCAAAAAUUAAGAGACCUCGAG